rnacentral:rRNA from 1 species
ACGCUGGCGGCAGGCCUAACACAUGCAAGUCGAGCGGUAGAGAGAAGCUUGCUUCUCUUGAGAGCGGCGGACGGGUGAGUAAUGCCUAGGAAUCUGCCUGGUAGUGGGGGAUAACGCUCGGAAACGGACGCUAAUACCGCAUACGCCCUACGGGAGAAAGCAGGGGACCUUCGGGCCUUGCGCUAUCAGAUGAGCCUAGGUCGGAUUAGCUAGUUGGUGAGGUAAUGGCUCACCAAGGCGACGAUCCGUAACUGGUCUGAGAGGAUGAUCAGUCACACUGGAACUGAGACACGGUCCAGACUCCUACGGGAGGCAGCAGUGGGGAAUAUUGGACAAUGGGCGAAAGCCUGAUCCAGCCAUGCCGCGUGUGUGAAGAAGGUCUUCGGAUUGUAAAGCACUUUAAGUUGGGAGGAAGGGCAGUAAAUUAAUACUUUGCUGUUUUGACGUUACCGACAGAAUAAGCACCGGCUAACUCUGUGCCAGCAGCCGCGGUAAUACAGAGGGUGCAAGCGUUAAUCGGAAUUACUGGGCGUAAAGCGCGCGUAGGUGGUUUGUUAAGUUGGAUGUGAAAUCCCCGGGCUCAACCUGGGAACUGCAUUCAAAACUAACAAGCUAGAGUAUGGUAGAGGGUGGUGGAAUUUCCUGUGUAGCGGUGAAAUGCGUAGAUAUAGGAAGGAACACCAGUGGCGAAGGCGACCACCUGGACUGAUACUGUCACUGAGGUGCGAAAGCGUGGGGAGCAAAC